UACGUAGGGGGCAAGCGUUGUCCGGAAUUAUUGGGCGUAAAGCGCGCGCAGGCGGCUUUGUAAGUCUGGUGUUUAAACCCGGGGCUCAACCUCGGGUCGCAUCGGAAACUGCAAGGCUUGAGUGCAGAAGAGGAAAGUGGAAUUCCACGUGUAGCGGUGAAAUGCGUAGAGAUGUGGAGGAACACCAGUGGCGAAGGCGACCACCUGGACUGAUACUGACACUGAGGUGCGAAAGCGUGGGGAGCAAACAGG
rnacentral:rRNA from 1 species